UACGGAAGGGGCAAGCGUUGUUCGGAAUCAUUGGGCGUAAAGGGCGCGCAGGUGGCUCUGUAUGUCUGCCGUGAAAGCAUACAGCUCAACUGUAUUGUGUCGGUAGAAACUGCAGGACUUGAGGCUGGGAGGGGCUGGUGGAAUUCCCUGUGUAGCGGUGAAAUGCGUAGAGAUGGGGGAGAACACUCGUGGCGAAGGCGGCCAGCUAGACCAGUUCUGACACUGAGGCGCGACAGUGUGGGGAGCGAACAGG
rnacentral:rRNA from 1 species